rnacentral:tRNA from 1 species
GCGCCCAUAGCUCAGCUGGAUAGAGUGUUUGACUACGAAUCAAAAGGUCGAGAGUUCGAAUCUCCCUGGGCGCA